UUGAACGCUAGCGGGAUGCUUUACACAUGCCAGUCGAACGGCAGCGCGGACUUCGGUCUGGCGGCGAGUGGCGAACGGGUGAGUAAUGUAUCGGAACGUGCCCAGUAGCGGGGGAUAACUACGCGAAAGCGUAGCUAAUACCGCAUACGCCCUACGGGGGAAAGCAGGGGAUCGUAAGACCUUGCACUAUUGGAGCGGCCGAUAUCGGAUUAGCUAGUUGGUGAGGUAACGGCUCACCAAGGCGACGAUCCGUAGCUGGUUUGAGAGGACGACCAGCCACACUGGGACUGAGACACGGCCCAGACUCCUACGGGAGGCAGCAGUGGGGAAUUUUGGACAAUGGGGGCAACCCUGAUCCAGCCAUCCCGCGUGUGCGAUGAAGGCCUUCGGGUUGUAAAGCACUUUUGGCAGGAAAGAAACGUCGCGGGCUAAUACCCCGUGGAACUGACGGUACCUGCAGAAUAAGCACCGGCUAACUACGUG
rnacentral:rRNA from 1 species